ensembl:lncRNA
GCUGAGCCCUGGCAGCGGACCCUCACGGAGGCGGCAGGCCUGGCGGCGAGCCCCUUCCAGUGCUCCGAGGAGGCAGCGCGAUGCUUCGUCUUCGUAGCCCCUCGAGUGAUGGCGGUGACGGUCGCUCCCGCUCGGCCGCGAUGGCGGAGCGCGCCCGGCCGGCCCCGGAAGUGAAGCGGUGACGGAGGGUCCCUCUGGCGGCGCUCGGCGGAACCGCUCGGGCCGGGAAGGCGCUGAGGCGGCUCGUUGGGCAUCAGGUAGGGGCCGCGGGGCCGCCUUCCCGCGGUGCUGCGGGGAUCGGUCAGUCAGUCAGCACGGAGGGGGUCGGGGCCGGCGGUGAGGUAACGCCGCGGGAGGCGGAGAGGCCCCGGCCCUUCUGUGGGCGCCCUCCGGAACUGUGCUGUUCGGAAGCGCUCGGUGCUCACAGGCAGCGCUGAUGCUGUUAUGAAGCCAUCUGGGGCUUCAGCUGUGGUUACGCUUCUUGGCUUCGUAUGUAAACCUUAGUCUGUGUUUAAGCGCUGUGCAGCUUCGUUGUUUUUCCUCAGAGUAAUUAAAACCUGAUUUCAGUAGCUCAUUUUCAGCUACAGAAUGCGUUUUUCAUUUACUUAUCCUUGCACUGAAAGGACCUGUGGAUGUGGUUUUCAAGUUUUUGUAAGAAAUAAAGGGCUGCCUGAGUUUGUAAGUUAAAUCUUACCUCAAGCUUGUGUUCUUUGUGACUAAAUUUGGUGCUUUAGGAAGUGGUGUGCAAAGGGACAGCUGUAGGGAUUUUAUUGAGGUAAUAGCAUAGAUAAGCUGUAGUAAAGUUAAUGCGUGCCAAUAAUGCUUACUGUUGACUACAGGGUUCUACUGUUGACUUCGCUUCCUAACAUGUUUGGAAGUGUAGCACAGGGCACACAGCACAGCUGUAGUAUUCUGGCAUUUGGAUCUCUUAUGUAAAUAGAAAGAUGUAUAUUUUAUAUAUAUGUGUGUGUGUGUGUGUGUGUGUGUGUUUGGGAUGGAUCGGCUUCUGUGUGCAUUUACUACAACUUAACCUCCUGUUAGCAUAACCUGUGCUAAUCUGAGUGGUUUUUGGACUCGCAGGCUGUACAUGUCAUAAAAUGUGGUCUAAUUUUAUGCACAAGUAAACCACCCCAUAUUUGAUCUAAUCUUUUUAUUUGGCUUGUCUUACUAUGUCAAUUAAAAAGGUAUCUUUUGUGGGUAGUUCUUAGUUUACCUUUAGGAGAAACUUCAGGGGAUUUAACUUUUCCCUGUAUCUGCUGACAUGCAUGUGUUUGUAGUCCAAACUAUGCAAGGCUGCUGUCUGCUUUAUUCUAGUUGUCCAUUUUUGGUUUGCACAGCAAUCCUAAGAACCAUUUUUAAACAACAGCUUCAGAGUCCUUUAAUAGCUAGCAGUAUGCUGAAGAUGAAAGAGUGCUGCAUCUGGAAAUGAGAGACUUAGUUUGAGCUCAGUUGUAGAUCCUGUGUUCUCAAAUACUGUCAUGCAUUUACUAGCCAG